UCUCCCACUCCUUACUAUUCUUCUUCCUUCAUCCUCUUCUUCUUCCUUCUCCCUCUCCUUCUUCAUUGUUAUUAUUGAUUUUCAUCUUAAUAUAAGAAAAUCCAUUGUUCUUGAAAUCUCUGUUUUACCCUCCUUUGGAAUAUUGCCUGACACGUGGAUGUGCUCUUCUACUUCCUUCCAAUUUUCCACUUUUUGUUUCCUUCUUUUACUACCUUUCCAAAACAACUUUUUCUACCUUUUCAAAACAACUUUUCCUCUCUAUCAUGUCCUUUCUCCUUUUUCUCAUGUUCAUUUACUUUUUUUCUCUCUCUCACACGUUCUUUUCUUUUUCUCUCUUUCUGAGACUUCUUCCUUCUCCCACUCCUUACUAUUCUUCUUCCUUCAUCCUCUUCUUCUUCCUUCUCCCUCUCCUUCUUCAUUGUUAUUAUUGAUUUUCAAAUAGAUUCGAUUUUGAUUUUGAUUUUGUGUUUGUUGUUUCAGGUUUGGUGGUUUUGGCUCACAUGGAGGGGGAAGCUUCGCCGAUAGUGCGGUUUCUGGUGGCUCCACGUGCGGUGUCUCAGUGUGGAAAUAAACCCUGGGAAGAUGUUCACUAUGUUUCAUAUUGUGUUUCCUUCGUGAAAUUUUAGAUUUAUACGGUAAGCCAGCAGUGGAAGGUACGAAUCACAACAAAGCUUUGGUUCAUUUGUUUAUUUAUUCAGCAUCUCUAACAUUGUUUUUAUGAUUUUCGUUUGGUUCCGAAACUAUGAACAUGACUUAUCUGAGAAUAAGAUCCAAUGCUUCCAUGGCUUAGGGUUUGCACUGUUUCUUCAACAAGUUGUUAAGAAGAUAGUGGGGUUGGUGAUUGUAUUGUGCAUAAAGGUGUAACUUCAAAGCUGUUAAAUAUUAGUUGAAGUUUCGUGCCUUCAUUUUAUCAAGUUAGCUGGAAUGAAUUACAAAAAAGCAGAAGAAACAUGAAAUUGCUCAAAAACAAGACUUCCAAGUUGGAAUGGACAUAUGUGUAGUACUUUGUGGCACAUCAAAAAAAAAGAGAUUAGCGGAUAAAAAGGAGGAGGAUGCUCCUGAGAUAGAAGUAGGGCUGCAUGGAAAGUUAUUGACUUAUAAAUUCGGUCACCAUAGAGGAAGAUCUGCCCGUUCAUAACCUUCGAAUUGGUCGCGUUGAAAUUAGUCACCAGGUAUGAAAACCAAUGGGAUUCCACAUAAUAAUAUCAGUUACUUAAAUUCAUUUGAAUCUAUUUUAUUGUGGUAUUUGGAUAUAUUGAUUGAUACAUGAAAAUUGUAAGAGCCACAACUACUCGGUUGAUGUUGCGACACUUCCUGAAGGAGUAGAGGUUACUCAAAUCAAUCUUAACGACAGUAGUUGUGCUGGUCUUGCUUAACGACACUUGAUUUUUAAUUAUGCAUAUGAAAAAAGAUGCCAAAUUUAUUACUUAUUACAAUUAUCUGAAUUCUGAGCUGUAAAUUUUGGUUUUUCAUUUUCACCACAAUUACAUGUUUCAUACUGUUUAUGUGGGCUGUAAAAAAUUAAGUGUCAGAAAACAUAUAUAAUAAAGGACUAAUUAGUGUGCCUUUAAGCUCUUGUAACUUCUUAUUAAUCGGAUGCAAGUUGAAGUGUGUUAAGUCUCCGACGUCACCGUUUGAACUCAAGUCUCCUUUUGCUUCUCCAGUUUUAAUUUAUAAGUUGAAAUUUAGUUUUUGGUUUUCCUGUAUACAACAGAGGACCUACACUUUAUUUUUUAUGAUCGGUUUACUAUGAAUGUAACAUGUUCGAUUAAAUGUCUUGUGUACACUUUAGUCAAUGCUGAGCAUAAUCUUUGUUUGCAACCAUAGAGUACUUAUAAUUGCUUCUGCUCUGAUACACAAAUCAUAACUUUGCAUACUUGCGGUUGAACGCUACGUCAAAGAAUUCUUCCCAGACACUAACAUUGUUGAUUUCUUGCUUCUUUGAGCUGGACUAUUCCUUAUGGUCUUCCUGGUACGUAUCUUUCCUCUCUUCUCAUUUUGUUUUUCAUCAUACUGUUAAUUAAUUUGAUCAUGUGAUUCAAAAAAUGAAAGGGCUUUUGAAUGUUGAACAUUAAAAAUGUUAUUUAAAAAACUUGUAGUUAUUAUAGUGCCAUAUAACAUACAAGAUUGUUCUACAUUGUAGACAAUAUGAAUCCUGUUGCUGUAGCUGAUGGACUUCUCCAUCAGUUAGAAUUAAAACUUAUGAAUGAGGUUGAGAAUGAAGGUUGAGGUUGAGAAUGAGGUUGUUCUACAUUGCAAUGUGCUUGAUUUUUUGGUUUCAUGGGUUUGCAAUUGGCUUAAAGUUUGUUGUUUUAUGCAGGUGAAAGACUUAAGGAGAUAGUUUGUUGCUUUAUGCAAUUGGAUUCAUAUUCUACAGAUGUUUGUUUUUUAGUUGAUUUUGUUUAUUUGUUUGAAGCAUUUUUUAUAUAAUUGAGAUUGACUUUGAUGAUAUAUGAUUGACAUUUGAAUGAGGUGCGUCGUAACUAUUGUUGCUGAGAGGUGUCAAUGCAUUAUGGAGAAAUCAUCAAUAUAAUGUUGUCUGAAUUUUCAUAACCAUAUCAUUGGAGUAUUGUUUGGUCUAAUAUUUUGGCAGCAAGCUACAAAUAUGUAAUCUGUAUUGCUUUUUCUUGGCACAACGAAUUCUUCAAUAGUGCAGCCAAUUGUAUCUAUUGCAAGACUGAACCAAAUUUUUCUGCACAGAAAAUUACAGUUGGUUGACGCUUCCGUUGUCGUUGGAUCACUUAACAACAAGUUGAGGAUGCAGCUGAUCUGAUGAAAAGAUUGUCGGAUAAGAAUAUGAGUUCAGCACGGCAACUUACAAUUGGUUGAUGGUAUUUUUAAUUAAAAACUCUCUGAUUUAAUGUAUUGAAUAUGAUGUUUAAAUGCUUUGUUUUUACAGGUGAAGUGGUCUGGAGUUAGAACACAGUAUUCUACUACUGCCUUUGUUGAUGAUAUGUAUGAGCGGUUGAAGAAGAGAUUGACAUCCUACGAGGUUGUCAUUUACCGUUGGCCGGAAUAUAUAAUGGUUUUAGAAAAUGCAAUAGCUGAUAUUGAAAAGGCCAUUAUAGAAGCUUUAGAUACACACUUAAAAAAUUAUAAAGUAUUAAGUGUUUAUCUUUUCAGAAAAAAGAUCACAAAGUUAGUCCAAUGUAAAUUUAUAUUGAUUGAAUCUCAAAAUGGUUUUUUUCUUCUAUCGUGCGAAGAGAAUAGAGCAAAUAAAUCUCAUUGGUCCUAAAUCUCAUUGGUCUUACUUAAAGAGUAAGACUUUAUUUUUGAAAUAAUUUCAACCUUUGUAAUAAUUUCGACCAAAUAAUGUAAUUCAUGAUUCAGUAGCUUUCUUGUGUAUCUAAAAGCAAUAUUAUUUCAAUUUUUAAAAAAGUUAUUGUAGUAAUUUAUCUUUCCAAAUUUAGUAUAAU